rnacentral:rRNA from 1 species
UGGGGAAUAUUGCACAAUGGGCGAAAGCCUGAUGCAGCAACGCCGCGUGAGUGAUGAAGGUCUUCGGAUUGUAAAGCUCUGUCUUUUGGGACGAUAAUGACGGUACCAAAGGAGGAAGCCACGGCUAACUACGUGCCAGCAGCCGCGGUAAUACGUAGGUGGCGAGCGUUGUCCGGAUUUACUGGGCGUAAAGGGUGCGUAGGCGGAUGUUUAAGUGAGAUGUGAAAUACCCGGGCUUAACUUGGGUGCUGCAUUUCAAACUGGAUAUCUAGAGUGCAGGAGAGGAGAAUGGAAUUCCUAGUGUAGCGGUGAAAUGCGUAGAGAUUAGGAAGAACACCAGUGGCGAAGGCGAUUCUCUGGACUGUAACUGACGCUGAGGCACGAAAGCGUGGGUAGCAAACAGGAUUAGAUACCCUGGUAGUCCACGCCGUAAAACGAUGAGUACUAGGUGUAGGAGGUAUCGACCCCUUCUGUGCCGCAGUAAAACACAUUAAAGUACUCCGCCUGGGAAGUACGAUC